GACGAACGCUGGCGGCGUGCUUAACACAUGCAAGUCGAACGAAGAGCGACGGAAGCUUGCUUCUAUCAAUCUUAGUGGCGAACGGGUGAGUAACGCGUAAUCAACCUGCCCUUCAGAGGGGGACAACAGUUGGAAACGACUGCUAAUACCGCAUACGAUCUAACCUCGGCAUCGAGGAUAGAUGAAAGGUGGCCUCUACAUGUAAGCUAUCACUGAAGGAGGGGAUUGCGUCUGAUUAGCUAGUUGGAGGGGUAACGGCCCACCAAGGCGAUGAUCAGUAGCCGGUCUGAGAGGAUGAACGGCCACAUUGGGACUGAGACACGGCCCAGACUCCUACGGGAGGCAGCAGUGGGGAAUCUUCCGCAAUGGACGAAAGUCUGACGGAGCAACGCCGCGUGAGUGAUGACGGCCUUCGGGUUGUAAAGCUCUGUUAAUCGGGACGAAAGGCCUUCUUGCGAA
rnacentral:rRNA from 1 species